rnacentral:tRNA from 1 species
GGAGAGGUGGAUGAGCGGUUUAAGUCGCACGCCUGGAAAGCGUGUUUGGGAUAAUAUCCCAACGGGGGUUCGAAUCCCCCCUUCUCCG